rnacentral:rRNA from 1 species
UAGGGAAUCUUCGGCAAUGGACGAAAGUCUGACCGAGCAACGCCGCGUGAGUGAAGAAGGUUUUCGGAUCGUAAAACUCUGUUGUUAGAGAAGAACAAGGACGUUAGUAACUGAACGUCCCCUGACGGUAUCUAACCAGAAAGCCACGGCUAACUACGUGCCAGCAGCCGCGGUAAUACGUAGGUGGCAAGCGUUGUCCGGAUUUAUUGGGCGUAAAGCGAGCGCAGGCGGUUUCUUAAGUCUGAUGUGAAAGCCCCCGGCUCAACCGGGGAGGGUCAUUGAAACUGGGAGACUUGAGUGCAGAAGAGGAGAGUGGAAUUCCAUGUGUGGCGGUGAAAUGCGUAGAUAUAUGGAGGAACACCAGUGGCGAAGGCGGCUCUCUGGUCUGUAACUGACGCUGAGGCUCGAAAGCGUGGGGAGCAAACAGG